GCCAGCGUGACUUAGUGGUCUGAGUGUUGGACUAGGACUCUGGAGACCAGGGGUUGGAAUCCCAACUCAGCCA